GAUGAACGCUAGCGGCAGGCCUAACACAUGCAAGUCGAGGGGUAGCAGGAUUAAGCUUGCUUAAUUGCUGACGACCGGCGCACGGGUGCGUAACGCGUAUGCAACCUACCUUAUACUGGGGCAUAGCCCGGAGAAAUUCGGAUUAAUCCCCCAUAGUACUAAUGAAUCGCAUGGUUUAUUAGUUAAAGCAUUGCGGUAUAAGAUGGGCAUGCGUGCUAUUAGCUAGAUGGUGAGGUAACGGCUCACCAUGGCUACGAUAGGUAGGGGGCCUGAGAGGAUGGUCACCCACACUGGUACUGGGACACGGGCCAGACUCCUACGGGAGGCAGCAGUGAUGAAGAUUGGUGAAUGGGCGCAAGCCUGAACCAGCCAUGCCGCGUGCAGGAAGAAUGCCCUAUGGGUUGUAAACUGCUUUUAUUUGGGAAUAAACCUCUUUACGUGUAGAGAGCUGAAGGUACCAAAUGAAUAAGCACCGGCUAACUCCGUGCCAGCCGCCGCCGUAA
rnacentral:rRNA from 1 species